GUACACUGGGCUCUCAACGUGGUGUGGAAGGUAGCCUGUUACAGUGCUGGAUUCAUAAAAGGGCCUUUAUGGUUUGUGAAAGAAUAUCUGUGUGCUUAGGGAGGAAACUUUUUGAUCUGCAGAAAAGCCAGAAGACAUCUAGGUAAGGCUACGAUAUCAAAUCUACUUUUUUGGGGGAAAGUUGGGCAGUGAGACUGCUUAAUCGCAACCAAUGACAUCCAUAAAAAUUCAUCAGAGAGCAUUUUACUACUGAGCUGCAAAGAUGACAAGAGCACCUCAAAGGCAGCAGCCUCAAGGAGCAGCCAUGGCCCCAGACUUGUCGCACGGAUGCAGAAAACUUAAUGGAGGAGGCUGAGCAAAACAGAGCGUGACACUCCCAAUCAUCUGCAUGCUGGAAAUGAGGAAAUGGUUAUUGAAUGAUACAAGUGCUUUUCGAUCAUUUAGAAAGUUCUGUUUCCCAAGAUCUUUUUUUUUUUUUUUUUU
rnacentral:lncRNA from 1 species